ensembl:lncRNA
AAAAGAAUACCGCACUGUUGAAUCUAAUCCCAACAAACCUGUUAUGUAGUUAGUUUCAGCUCCAUUUCUGUGAGUGAGAAAACCAGGGCCUGAAGUCCUGGAGUUGAACUCCUGGAGUUUAAAUGCCUGAAGCUCCCUACAAGCACGGAGCCUCACACCUCGUGGCUGUGUCCUCAGAGCACUCUGCCCUUUGGAGUAGUGCUGGGGGCACUUAGCCCCCAGCUGAGUUCUCCCUCAUCAUGCCCCAGCUCCACCUACCAGCCGGAGACUCACCAUGCCACUUCCCAGGGGCUACUCGACCCUGUUUCUUCACGCAAAGCAGCAAAAUUGCCAGAAGAACCAGCUGAGAAAUUUGCAUUUCAUGGACUUGCAAAAGAAGACCAACGUAAAGACAAACAUACAAAGGUACCUAGCCUUUUGAGUCUGAGCCGCUCUGAGGAUGGGAGGGAGAAAGGUGCUGAGAGGAGCCUGCAGAUGACUUGUUCAGCCCACUCGGAUCUCACCGUGGAGGAGGUGGCCCAAAAGAGAUUCCGGGAGAGGCCAGAAGUACAGUCGGUGCAGCAGAGGAGUAUUGCUGCCACUGCCCAGAAGAUAUGGAUUCCAGGAGGAAGGACAGAGCCCUGAUUGGUUCU